AUUGAACGCUGGCGGCAUGCCUUACACAUGCAAGUCGAACGGCAGCACGGGAGCAAUCCUGGUGGCGAGUGGCGAACGGGUGAGUAAUGUAUCGGAACGUACCUUUCAGUGGGGGAGUAACGUAGCGAAAGUUACGCUAAUACCGCAUAUUCUGUGAGCAGGAAAGCAGGGGAUCGCAAGACCUUGCGCUGAUUGAGCGGCCGAUAUCAGAUUAGCUAGUUGGUGAGGUAAAGGCUCACCAAGGCGACGAUCUGUAGCGGGUCGUGAGAGGAUGAUCCGCCACACUGGAACUGAGACACGGUCCAGACUCCUACGGGAGGCAGCAGUGGGGAAGUUUUGGUACAAUGGGCGGCAAGCCUGAUCCAGCCAUGCCGCGUGAGUGAAGAAGGCCUC
rnacentral:rRNA from 1 species